UGGGGAAUAUUGGACAAUGGGGGGCAACCCCCGAUCCAGCCAUGCCGCGUGAGUGAUGAAGGCCUUCGGGUUGUAAAGCUCUUUUGGCGGGGACGAUGAUGACGGUACCCGCAGAAUAAGCCCCGGCUAACUUCGUGCCAGCAGCCGCGGUAAGACGAAGAGGGCUAGCGUUGUUCGGAAUUACUGGGCGUAAAGCGAGUGUAGGCGGUUGCCGCAGUCAGGUGUGAAAGCCUUGAGCUCAACUCAAGAAAUGCACUUGAUACUGGGUGACUAGAGGACCGGAGAGGAUAGUGGAAUUCCCAGUGUAGUGGUGAAAUACGUAGAGAUUGGGAAGAACACCAGUGGCGAAGGCGGCUAUCUGGACGGUUACUGACGCUAAGACUCGAAAGCGUGGGGAGCAAACAGGAUUAGAUACCCUGGUAGUCCACGCCGUAAACGAUGGGUGCUAGACGUUGGCGAGCUUGCUCGUCAGUGUCGCAGCUAACGCGUUAAGCACCCCGCCU
rnacentral:rRNA from 1 species